CUGGCUGGCAGGCAGGCGGAAGCAACACCCGGAGCCGGGAUCCCGGGCCGGGUCGGGAUGAAAGGGUGCAAGCUGGGAGCUCCCCGCCCUUCUUCCCCCAACCCCGGCGGCUCCCGGCCGCCUCGGGCUUGGCGUGCCUCGCGGAAAAAGGGGGAAGGGAAGCGGGACGGGCCCGCAGCUGCCGUGGUAGAGAGGCUCGCAGGCUUGCAGGACCAUGCAGCCUGCUCCCCAAAUUGCACAAAACAGCCGUCGUGAGAAGUAGGAAGUUUCCCCGCCUCGGGUCGCAGCUUCUCUCGGAGCCUCGUGAAACAACGACCCCCACCAGCAGCAGCAGCGCCCGCUUUGCCCCGGCUCCGGAGCGCUGUUUACCUAAUCUCAGCGGCUGACCGAGCCCAGCAGAAUGCGAAAGGGAGGCAGCGGUGGUACAGCAGCGUCCCCGGCGAAGAAGUAAAAGACGUUUGCUUUGGAGCUUCGGGAUAAGUUAACUGCGAAGCUGGGGUCCUGCUGUCUUACCUCUGCGGCGAUGAGCCUCACCGUGCACGUUGGCAGGCAUAGCAGAUUCUGUUUCUGAUGCCAUUACCGUGUCGGAGAAGAACAUUAUAUGAAAAAAUACUAUCUAAUAUCCUAGAGACCAUUAAAGUGUCAAAGUUUAAUGCCAAGUCUUUUAGCUCGAAGGCUGCUCAGUUCUUCCUCUGACGUGCAGCUCUGUUCCAGAACGCGCUGAAAACAAGGGGAUCAUUUUUAUUUUUUUGCCGCCCGAAUGUCCUUCCUUCCUACUCUCUUCCUCCUCUCUCACCCCUACCCCCUCCCCGGAACCGGGUAAAGUUAAAGGGAGAAUUUGUACUUUCUUUUUACGUUUUGCUUUGCUUCACUUCAUUAGUGGUGUAAAAUGCAUUAUUACAGCACAUUAGCAUAUUAAUAAAGGUAACGUGACUGAGGAAAGGAAAA